rnacentral:lncRNA from 1 species
UCAAGAUAUUGUGUCCUUGUCAUUGGCCAGAGAUAGAUAGGAGAAAGCACAUUUGGUUCUUAAGAGUAGGGAAUUGUGUGGAAGUUAUUGGUUUUAAGGUACCAUUACAGAUAAUCUUUAAAACUUGGGUGGGAUCUCAUAAGGUGAUGAUGUAGACAAGGAAGAUAGAAGAAGCAGAGGGAUACCAUAUAGGGAGGUGUUUGGGAUGAAGGAGUCCAUGCAAAGAAGUGAGAAACAAGGCUGGAACUAUAUAGUAGAGAUCUCAGUUCCAGACUAAGGAAUAAUAGAACUGAUGGCAUUUAUGGAACACUUACUAUGCACCAAGUACUUUCUUUGGAGUAUCUUAAUGAGUCCUUACAAACUCCCCUAUGAGACAGUCUUUUGUGAAUGAGAAUCAGAGACACAGGAGUUAAGUAAUUAAUACAGAGUUUGUAAGCAUAGCAGGCAUUGAAACCCAGUCUGUCAACUCCAGAACCUAUGAACAUUUUAUCCACUGUGCUGCCUUAUGGUCAUCAACUUUACUACCUAAAGUUGCUGAUUCCUCAGACCUAGAGUUUUGCAGCCUCCUACAUGAUGGUUUUAUUUUUCAAAUAGCACAAAAAUAGCCCUUUGUGAGAUUUAUGUAGGUAAGAGGGAACCUCUGCCCUUUUGAGACACUUAGCCUUCUCCAACCCAAGUUAGGGUAUCUUUGGGCCUAAUAUUUCUGCUCUCGGAAAGCCCUAGAGGUCCUAGGCAGCAAUAGUCUCUUUAAAUGUUUAUUUAUUGCAAGGGACAAUCAGGGUCAGCUAAUCCAGGACCUGUGGCGAGGCAUGCAGAGCACUGUGGCCAGGCUCUGCUCAUGGUACACACACCCCAGGGCCAUGGGCUUUUCACCCCAACCCCACCAAACUUGCUAAAAGUGUUAGAUCUAGUCUAGAAGCCUGAGGUAACUCCUAGAUGUAAAAUUCAGGAUAUAGGCCCAAGAAUUCCUGCAUCCCAGCAAGAAGGAAGCCAGACUGUCUGCUUUUACGAACUGAAUUGAGAAUUCACCUUUCCAGUGAGACUGAAGCUUUGCUGAAGAUUUAUCGCCCCCUGGAGGACAAUAGUAUAAUAUAUCUCUUCAGGUACUCUAGAAAAGAUGCCCAACUGAACUGAAAUACACAUUUUUUUCCUAAAGAAUAGGAAAAUCAAGCCUUUGCUAAGACAACCCUUUAAAAAGAUGUCCAGGCAUCCAAAUGGCAGGAGUUCUCUGGAUCUGACCUCAAAAGCUAGGCCUGAAAUGAAUACAUUGUGGGUCUCU